rnacentral:rRNA from 1 species
GACGAACGCUGGCGGCGUGCCUAAUACAUGCAAGUCGAACGGACAGGCCCUGCUCUUGCGGCGCGCUCGAGUGGCGAACGCGUGAGUAUCACGCGUGUAUCCCGUCCCUGUCUUUCGGAUAACUCCUGGAAACUGGGGCUAUAAUCGGAUAGGAUCUCUUGCUGCACGGUGUUGGUUGGUAAGUUUCGGCGGUUGGGGAUCGACUCGCUGCUUAUCCGCUUGAUGGUGGGGUAGUGGCUUACCAAGGCUUUGACGGAUAGCCGGCCUGGGAGGGGUGCCGGCCACCUUGGGACUGAGGUACGGCCCAGACGCCUACGGGAGGCAGCGGUGGAGAGUAUUGCGCAGUGGGCGGAAGCCUGAUGCAACGACGCCGCGUGCGGAAUGACGGCCUUCGAGUUGUAAACCGCUUUCGCCUGAGACGAAGCGUGAGUGACGGUAAUGGGUAAAGAAGCACCGGCUAACUACGUG